UGCGUAGGCGGCCAGAUCAGUCAGGCGUGAAAGUGUUCGGCUUAACCGGAAAAUUGCGUUUGAUACUGUUUGGCUAGAAUCAGGAUGAGGUUGGCGGAAUGUGGCAUGUAGCGGUGAAAUGCAUAGAUAUGCCAUAGAACACCGAUUGCGAAGGCAGCUGGCUGGACCUGAAUUGACGCUGAGGCACGAAAGCGUGGGGAGCGAACAGGAUUAGAUACCCUGGUAGUC
rnacentral:rRNA from 1 species